rnacentral:rRNA from 1 species
CCUACGGGAGGCAGCAGUAAGGAAUAUUGGACAAUGGACGCAAGUCUGAUCCAGCCAUGCCGCGUGAAGGAUUAAGGCCCUCUGGGUUGUAAACUUCUUUUAUAGGGACGAAAAAAGGGCUUUCUAGCUCGACUGACGGUACCCUAUGAAUAAGCACCGGCUAACUCCGUGCCAGCAGCCGCGGUAAUACGGAGGGUGCAAGCGUUAUCCGGAUUCACUGGGUUUAAAGGGUGCGUAGGCGGGUCAUUUAAGGUCAGUGGUGAAAUCUUCGAGCUCAACUCGGAAACUGCCAUUGAUACUAUUUGUCUUGAAUAUUGUGGAGGUGAGCGGAAUAUGUCAUGUAGCGGUGAAAUGCUUAGAUAUGACAUAGAACACCGAUUGCGAAGGCAGCUCGCUACACGAAAUAUUAGACGCUGAGGCACGAAAGCGUGGGGAUCGAACAGGAUUAGAUACCCUGGUAGUCCACGCCCUAAACUAUGGAUACUCGACAUUUGCGAUACACAGUAAGUGUCUGNGNGAAGANAUAGUAUCCUCCGUGAGUUAGACGCGAGUUAGAACGACGAGAGUAGAGGNGNGAGAGNGCGACGGACGACGACGAGGAGGAGG